rnacentral:rRNA from 1 species
CCUACGGGUGGCAGCAGUAGGGAAUUUUCGGCAAUGGGGGGAACCCUGAACGAGCCACGCCGCGUGAAGGAAGACGUUACUCGGAAUGUUAAGUUGCUUUUAUAGGGAAGAAAGAGCAAUUUGACGUUACCUGAUGAAUAUGCCCUGGCAAACUGCGUGCCCGCAGCCGCGGUAAUACGCGGAGAGCGAGCGGUGUCGGCAAUUGUUGGCCGUAAAGGGUGGGUAGAUGGCAUAGUAAGUCUUUGGUAAAAAUGCUGGGUUCAACCCCGUAGGGCAAAAGAUACUGCAAAGCUAGAGAAUGACAGAGGCAAGUGGAACGAAAGGUGUAGCGGUAAAAUGCGUAAAUAUAUGUAAGAACACCGAUGGCGAAGGCGGCUUGCUGGGUCAAUACUGACAUUGAGGCACGAAAGCGUGGGGAGCAAACAGGAUUAGAUACCCGGGUAGUC